UAGCUAGUUGGUGGGGUAAGGGCCUACCAAGGCGACGAUCGGUAGCUGGUCUGAGAGGAUGACCAGCCACACUGGAACUGAGACACGGUCCAGACUCCUACGGGAGGCAGCAGUGGAGAAUAUUGGACAAUGGGGGCAACCCUGAUCCAGCAAUGCCGCGUGUGUGAAGAAGGCCUGAGGGUUGUAAAGCACUUUCAGUGGGGAGGAGGGUUGAUAGGUUAAGAGCUAAUUAACUGGACGUUACCCACAGAAGAAGCACCAGCUAACUCCGUGCCAGCAGCCGCGGUAAUACGGAGGGUGCGAGCGUUAAUCGGAAUUACUGGGCGUAAAGGGUGCGUAGGUGGUUGAUUAAGUUAUCUGUGAAAUUCCUGGGCUUAACCUGGGACGGUCAGAUAAUACUGGUUGACUCGAGUAUGGGAGAGGGUAGUGGAAUUUCCGGUGUAGCGGUGAAAUGCGUAGAGAUCGGAAGGAACACCAGUGGCGAAGGCGGCUACCUGGCCUAAUACUGACACUGAGGCACGAAAGCGUGGGGAGCAAACAGGAUUAGAUACCCUGGUAGUCCACGCUGUAAACGAUGUCAACUAGCUGUUGGUUAUAUGAAAAUAAUUAGUGGCGC
rnacentral:rRNA from 1 species